GUCAGAAUGACUUUUCCUCCACUCUCCUUUCCCCAAGCAGGUCUGAGCACUCUAUUGCAAAAGAUAAGGUUAGACCUAGAAGAAUCCAGACAGACAGGCCUUGUGUCAUUCAUUCCCCCUGGGGUUAGCUCAGACCCUUUGCCUUUUGUCCUAGUCCGCCACAGCUGCAACAAACUACUUUUUAAAAAGCCACUCAGAUCUGGUUGUUUCUUCCUUGGGGGAGGCUCUUAUGUCCUAUAUGACCCACAUUCAAUAUUGCACACUUUUACCAAUUUGUCUUGUAUUACAGAAAUUCCAGCAAAUGCACCAAAAUGGGUACAAAAAA
rnacentral:lncRNA from 1 species